GGUGCAUGUAAUAUCCUGGACAUAAUCUGUCUUUUAAUUUUCUUUGGAUUGUAGUGAUAUUACAGAUACAUGUGUUCAGUUAUAGAUCUUUAUUUAAUAAGAAGAAUGCCUUAGCUGAAGAUUUGUACUAUGCCAGGAGUGGGCAACUCACAGUAAUGUUGCUGGCGGUUUAGCCCAGGCACAGCCCACACCAAGGAUAGAAUAACAAGCAGAUAACUGGUAAUGCAACCUAAGUUCAAGACUCAAAUAAUGGCACACUAGACAUAAAUUAGGAGGCUGAGAAGAAGCUGAUGAGAUCCUGGGGUGAAGACCAAGGGGAUGAGAGUGUCAGCUCCCUAAUUUUAAACACCUUUGUCAGACCCAGUACCCUGGCCUUACAUCCUCAAGGACCCUGUUAGAAACAUUUUUUUCUUCUCUC
rnacentral:lncRNA from 1 species